rnacentral:miRNA from 1 species
CUCGCUCUCUCUCUCUCGCGCUCUCUCU